ACUGACUGAGUUUUAUACUGCUACUCGCAAUCGGUCUUCACACUCAUGCCGAAGUGUUCUCAGCUGUGCGGAUUGAGGUAGAGAAUUUGGAUUUGCAUACAUACACGCAACGCGGCACCCAGUUCUACGCAUGCGCUCAACCCAUGAGGAGAAAGGGAUUGUUAGCGGCGAAUGUCUCCAGCUUGAGACCCGCUGAGGGACCACCGCCGGAGGCGGAGGUGCCUAAGCGCUGCCCGGCAACGAUCCCUUUCUCCUCCUUGUCGUGGUUCAGUCUACUUCACAUUGAUGAGGACGUUGAAGAACCAGGAACGUCGGAGAACCCAACGCGGUCGUUUGAGAUUCAUAAUAUCGGCUCACACAUCUUUUGGCCGUUAUAAUAUUAUAUGAUAUAGAUAUCUAUGUAGGCUAUAUGAUAAUAUUUUGAUAUAGAGCUCCAGGACUCCCGUGUGUUCUAGAAUAUUUACGGCUAAAGGCUAAAGGCUGUGUGAGCCUCGCCAUUGCGAUACAUCCACUGUAAACAGAGCGAAUGGUACCGUGGCUGCAAGCUGCUCAGGGCCACACCCCCACCCUCCUCCUUGACCCGCCUCGCUCCUCCUCAUUUGCAUUAUAGCUACAGCCACCAAAACAGCGCAUUUGGGGGAAGCUCAAUGUGCGACUGGCUCGGAGUGGCUGUAACUCUGCACCACGGCUGAAUUUCGGGAACGUCGUUAUGUAACUUACUGUUUUGUUAUGCACCUUCGGCACCCCUACACACACAAACAAUCACACACCCAGCAUGCAACACUACUGAUACCACUGAUGUUCACACCCCAUCGUAUGUUCUGUUCUGUUCAUUUCUAAUAUAUUGUUCAUGCUAAUUCUACCCUCUGAUUCCAGUUUCUUUAUUGUGUGGUCUUUCUCUGCUGACAUUCAUUCCUUAAGGCUUUGUAGUUAUACUUGUAUAACCAUCUGAUACUAGCCAAGAGUUAAGCAUAUUCAUCUAGCAAACUAUACCUACCUUGGAGUGUUACAAUAGCCAAUAAUCAUUUUAUUCCAUGUGUCCAUCCAGGCAAAUUGGUGGAUCCAAAUGUUAUUAAAAAACAAACAUACAUA